UACAGAGGUCUCAAGCGUUGUUCGGAUUCAUUGGGCGUAAAGGGUGCGUAGGCGGCGCGGUAAGUCGGGUGUGAAAUCUCGGAGCUUAACUCCGAAACUGCAUUCGAUACUGCCGUGCUUGAGGACUGGAGAGGAGACUGGAAUUUACGGUGUAGCGGUGAAAUGCGUAGAUAUCGGGAGGAACACCUGUGGCGAAGGCGGCUUUCUGGGCCUUACCUGACGCUGAGACGCGAAAGCGUGGGGAGCGAACCGG
rnacentral:rRNA from 1 species